rnacentral:rRNA from 1 species
AUGAACGCUAGCGACAGGCUUAACACAUGCAAGUCGAGGGGUAACAGGGUAGCAAUACCGCUGACGACCGGCGCACGGGUGAGUAUCGCGUAUGCAACCUGCCUAUAACUGGGGAAUAGCUCCCUGAAAGGGGGAAUUAACACCGCAUAACACUAUUGAUUCGCAUGGAUUGGUAGUUAAAUGUAGCGAUACAGGUUAUAGAUGGGCAUGCGUGACAUUAGCUAGUUGGUGAGGUAACGGCUCACCAAGGCUACGAUGUCUAGGGGUUCUGAGAGGAAGGUCCCCCACACUGGUACUGAGACACGGACCAGACUCCUACGGGAGGCAGCAGUGAGGAAUAUUGGUCAAUGGGCGCAAGCCUGAACCAGCCAUGUCGCGUGCAGGAAGACUGCCCUAUGGGUUGUAAACUGCUUUUAUAGUAGAAGAAACACAUCUACGUGUAGAUGUCUGCCAGUAUACUAUGAAUAAGCAUCGGCUAACUCCGUGCCAGCCGCUGC